rnacentral:lncRNA from 1 species
UAAAAAGGAUGUUUUCCAUCUAAUAGGUUUAUCCACCCUCUAUGAUCUUCCAGAUGUUCAUCCCUUCUGGAGAGUAAGAAGAAAAAGGACUAGUCACUCCUGUCUGAUGAGAAGGAGAAACGGAGGCAGAUGGGUUUAGAGGGCCAUAUACCAUUUAAACAUAGGGCAGUAAUUCUCUCAUUUUGAAAACCUGGUGAAAAUGCACACAUACAAAAUUCUUCAUACAGUUUCAGGGUUUCUUGGACUUCCUGACACUCUUCCAUAGAAACCCUAGGAGUCCAGGAACCUCAGGUAAAGAACACCUGCCCACAUGGAUCUAGCAGCCCAAGCCCUCUAAGCCCCCAGAGCAUCAUGUUCAAGCACAUGAGGCAUCCUUUCAGCCAUGCCUUUGCCAGAUGACCUAACUCACCACUCCUUCUCCCCAGGCUGCGAGAUGAACUUGCCUGACCUCCCUGCCACCCACUGAAGAAAGAGCAACACAUUACCUGCAUCAGGACAGAAUCUUCUCAGACCAAACUGUGCCUUCCUGUUACUGAGCCUGCAGCAUGGAGAAUCUGAGCUGCCAUAAGGUUGUGAAAAGUGAAAAAGCAAAUCUAAAAAAGACAAAUGGAGAAGGAACAGCUAGUGAAGUCAGAGGAGGAUUGAAAGACCCUGGUGUCCUGGAAGCAACUGAAGAAAGUGUUUCCAGAAGAAAGGAGUGAUCACAUGACUUCAAAUGCCACCAGUGGGUCAAAUAAGAACAGAGAAUUGACCAUGGAAUCUGUCAACACAGAAGUCAUCAGUGGCCUUGAUAAAUGUAGUUUCACUGCCAUGAUAAGGAUGAAAGGCUGAUUGGAGCCUGUGACGGAGACUAGGAGGUGAGGAAAUAGAAACAGUAGUUUUGCUCUGAAUGGUUAGCAAA